rnacentral:rRNA from 1 species
UACGUAGGAUGCGAGCGUUGUCCGGAAUUAUUGGGCGUAAAGAGAACGUAGGCGGUUUGUUAAGUUUGGGCUUAAAGACUGGGGCUCAACCCCCAGGAGUGGCUCGAAAACUGACAGACUAGAGGAUGGCAGAGGAAAGUGGAAUUCCCGGUGUAGAGGUGAAAUUCGUAGAUAUCGGGAGGAACACCGGUGGCGAAGGCGGCGAUCUGGGUCGAUACUGACGCUGAGGUGCGAAAGCGUGGGGAGCAAACAGG